GACGAACGCUGGCGGCGUGCCUAAUACAUGCAAGCCGAACGCUUCUUUCCUCCCGAGUGCUUGCACUCAAUUGGAAAGAGGAGUGGCGGACGGGUGAGUAACACGUGGGUAACCUACCCAUCAGAGGGGGAUAACACUUGGAAACAGGUGCUAAUACCGCAUAACAGUUUAUGCCGCAUGGCAUAAGAGUGAAAGGCGCUUUCGGGUGUCGCUGACGGAUGGACCCGCGGUGCAUUAGCUAGUUGGUGAGGUAACGGCUCACCAAGGCCACGAUGCAUAGCCGACCUGAGAGGGUGAUCGGCCACACUGGGACUGAGACACGGCCCAGACUCCUACGGGAGGCAGCAGUAGGGAAUCUUCGGCAAUGGACGAAAGUCUGACCGAGCAACGCCGCGUGAGUGAAGAAGGUUUUCGGAUCGUAAAACUCUGUUGUUAGAGAAGAACAAGGACGUUAGUA
rnacentral:rRNA from 1 species